GACGAACGCUGGCGGCGUGCUUAACACAUGCAAGUCGAACGGAAAGGCCCUGCUUUUGUGGGGUGCUCGAGUGGCGAACGGGUGAGUACCACGUGAGUAACCUGCCCUUGACUUUGGGAUAACUUCAGGAAACUGGGGCUAAUACCGGAUAGGAGCUCCUGCUGCAUGGUGAGGGUUGGAAAGUUUCGGCGGUUGGGGAUGGACUCGCGGCUUAUCAGCUUGUUGGUGGGGUAGUGGCUUACCAAGGCUUUGACGGGUAGCCGGCCUGAGAGGGUGACCGGCCACAUUGGGACUGAGAUACGGCCCAGACUCCUACGGGAGGCAGCAGUGGGGAAUAUUGCACAAUGGGCGGAAGCCUGAUGCAGCAACGCCGCGUGCGGGAUGACGGCCUUCGGGUUGUAAACCGCUUUCGCCUGUGACGAAGCGUGAGUGACGGUAAUGGGUAAAGAAGCACCGGCUAACUACGUG
rnacentral:rRNA from 1 species